UACAGAGGCCUCGAGCGUUGUUCGGAAUUACUGGGCGUAAAGGGAAUGUAGGUGGCGACGUAAGUCAGAUGUGAAAGCCCUGGGCUUAACCCGGGAAGUGCAUUUGAUACUGUGUUGCUAGAGUGCGAGAGAGGAAAGCGGAAUUCCCAGUGUAGGAGUGAAAUCCGUAGAUAUUGGGAGGAAUACCGAUGGCGAAGGCAGCUUUCUGGCUCGUAACUGACACUGAGAUUCGAAAGCGUGGGUAGCAAACAGG
rnacentral:rRNA from 1 species